GGGACUGAUGAUGAGAUCUGGUGGCAUAUGAGUGUUUCUCCAUGACUGCCAUGUGUACAGAAAUCUGAGAUAAAA